rnacentral:misc_RNA from 1 species
UUUCCGUAGGUGAACCUGCGGAAGGAUCAUUCAUAAUAAGUGUUUUAUGGCACUUUUUUAAAUCCAUAUCCACCUUGUAUGCAAUGUCAGGGUUGAUUUUUCUCUCGAGAGGAUCAACCCCAAACAUCAACUAUAUCUCAACUCUUUGUCUGAAAAAUAUUAUGAAUAAAACAAUUCAAAAUACAACUUUCAACAACGGAUCUCUUGGCUCUC